rnacentral:rRNA from 1 species
UACGUAGGGGGGCAAGCGUUGUCCGGAUUUAUUGGGCGUAAAGCGCUCGCAGGCGGCUCGAUGCGUCGUGCGUGAAACACCCCGGCUCAACUGGGGAGGGUCGUGCGAUACGGUCGGGCUGGAGGCCAGUAGGGGGAUGCGGAAUUCCGGGUGUAGUGGUGGAAUGCGUAGAGAUCCGGAGGAACACCAGCGGCGAAGGCGGCAUCCUGGACUGGUACUGACGCUCAUGAGCGAAAGCGUGGGGAGCGAGUCCGG